rnacentral:rRNA from 1 species
GCAAGUCGAACGGUAACAGGCAGUACGGAUCCCUUCGGGGUGAAGUUAGCGCUGACGAGUGGCGGACGGGUGAGCAAUGUGUAGGAAUUUACCUCAAAGUGGGGGAUAUCGCGGAGAAAUCCAGAUUAAUACCGCAUGUGCUCUACGGAGCAAAGCGGGCCUCUUCUUGGAAGCUCGCGCUUUGAGAUAAGCCUACGUCGGAUUAGCUUGUUGGUAGGGUAAAGGCCUACCAAGGCAACGAUCCGUAGCUGGUUUGAGAGGAUGAUC